rnacentral:rRNA from 1 species
CGGAUUGAAGGCUGAAAUUCGCCUUCAUGAAGCUGGAAUUGCUGUAAUGGCAGGUCAGCAUACUGCCGUGAAUACGUUCCCGGGCCCUUGUACACACCGCCCGUCACACCAUGAGAGUUGGAAAUACCCGAAGCCUGUGAGCUAACUUAAAGAGGCAGCAGUCGAAGGUAGAGCCAAUGAUUGGGGUGAAGUCGUAACAAGGUAUC